rnacentral:tRNA from 2 species
UGGGAUAUCGCCAAGCGGUAAGGCACCGGGUUUUGAUCUCGGGAUUCAGAGGUUCAAAUCCUCUUAUCCCAGCCA